UACGAAGGGGGCUAGCGUUGUUCGGAAUUACUGGGCGUAAAGGGCGCGUAGGCGGCCGCUUGCGUCGGAUGUGAAAGCCCGGGGCUCAACCCCGGAACGGCAUCCGAUACGGGGCGGCUGGAGACCGGGAGAGGAGGGUGGAAUAGCCAGUGUAGAGGUGAAAUUCGUAGAUAUUGGCUGGAACACCGGUGGCGAAGGCGGCCCUCUGGACGGUGACUGACGCUGAGACGCGAAAGCGUGGGGAGCAAACAGG
rnacentral:rRNA from 1 species